UGUAUUAGAUUAAUUAAUUUUGAUUAGUAUUCAAGUUUAAAUUGAUGGGUUUUUGCUUGUUUCAGGCGGCUUGUGUUCAAAAUGUAUUAGAUUAAUUAAUUUUGAUUAGUAUUCGAGUUUAAAUUGAUGGGGUUUUGCUUGUUUCAGACGACAUGUGUUCAAAAUGUUAUUAAAUUCAUUGAUUUUUUUAUGAGUGUUUGAGUUUUUAUUGAUGUUUUUCUUUUGUCUCAGGCAGUGUGCAUUCAAAAUGUUAUUAAAUUCGUUGAUUUUGAUUAUUAUUCGAGCUUAUAUUGAUGGAUUUUUGCUUGUUUUAGGUGCCCCAUGUUCAAAAUCUAUUUGAUUCAUUAAUUUUGAUUAGUAUUCAAGUUUAUGUUGAUUAGUUUUUGCUUGUUUUAGGUGUCCUGUGUUCAAAAUGUAUUAGAUCCAUUAAUUCCGGCAUUGUUGGCUGAUAAAAAUCGGAAGUUCAUUUUCAUUGAACAGGCAUUUUUCCAGCGAUGGUGGAGGGACCAGAGCGAGGCAGUCCAGAGUAUAACCAAGCAGUUUGUCAGCACAGAUCAACUAGAGUUGAUAAAUGGUGGUUGCUGCAUGGAUGAUGAGGCGGCCUCACAUUAU